UGGGGAAUAUUGCACAAUGGGGGAAACCCUGAUGCAGCGACGCCGCGUGGAGGAAGAAGGUCUUCGGAUUGUAAACUCCUGUUGUUGAGGAAGAUAAUGACGGUACUCAACAAGGAAGUGACGGCUAACUACGUGCCAGCAGCCGCGGUAAAACGUAGGUCACAAGCGUUGUCCGGAAUUACUGGGUGUAAAGGGAGCGCAGGCGGGAAGACAAGUUGGAAGUGAAAUCUAUGGGCUCAACCCAUAAACUGCUUUCAAAACUGUUUUUCUUGAGUAGUGCAGAGGUAGGCGGAAUUCCCGGUGUAGCGGUGGAAUGCGUAGAUAUCGGGAGGAACACCAGUGGCGAAGGCGGCCUACUGGGCACCAACUGACGCUGAGGCUCGAAAGUGUGGGUAGCAAACAGGAUUAGAUACCCUGGUAGUCCACACCGUAAACGAUGAUUACUAGAUGUUGGAGGAUUGACCCCUUCAGUGCCGCAGUUAACACAAUAAGUAAUCCACCUGGGGAGUACGACCGCAAGGUUGAAACUCAAAGGAAUUGACGGGGGCCCGCACAAGCAGUGGAGUAUGUGGUUUAAUUCGACGCAACGCGAAGAACCUUACCAAGUCUUGACAUCCUGCGACGAUGCUGGAAACAGUAUUUUCCUUCGGGACGCAGAGACAGGUGGUGCAUGGUUGUCGUCAGCUCGUGUCGUGAGAUGUUGGGUUAAGUCCCGCAACGAGCGCAACCCUUACUGUCAGUUACUACGCAAGAGGACUCUGGCAGGACUGCCGUUGACAAAACGGAGGAAGGUGGGGAUGACGUCAAAUCAUCAUGCCCUUUAUGACUUGGGCUACACACGUACUACAAUGGCGUUAAACAAAGAGAAGCAAGACCGCGAGGUGGAGCAAAACUCAGAAACAACGUCCCAGUUCGGACUGCAGGCUGCAACUCGCCUGCACGAAGUCGGAAUUGCUAGUAAUCGUGGAUCAGCAUGCCACGGUGAAUACGUUCCC
rnacentral:rRNA from 1 species